rnacentral:misc_RNA from 1 species
GUAUUGUUAUUUAAAGACAUUCAAAUACAUCAAUGAUUGUUUGUAAAGAGACAUAAGCAAAGUAAGUCUUGCAACCACUUGCCUACAGAAUGUGCACAGGUGGAUAUUGGUUUUGUUAAGAGUGCACAUGCUUUUAGAAAGCCAGCACAUCCUUUAAAAUCAAUAAUGAUCCUUCCGCAGGUUCACCUACGGAAA